UAAAUGGAGGACUAGUGGUUAGGCCAUAGCGCUCUCACCGCUGCAGCCCGGGUUCGAUUCCCGGCCAAGGAG
rnacentral:tRNA from 1 species